UAGCACAAACCCUAAAGUUACACGAGCAUCUACGCACCAAACCAUCAUUAAAUCCACGCGAUGCACGCCAUCUUCUAAUAAUAAUAAUAAUAAGUAGAGUCUUGCCAUCUAACCAUAAACCUUUGGAUUCAAGUAGGCGUGAGAAUAUAAACAUGUUAAGUAGAUGACAGUGGCACAAAACUGUGCGUCCCAUCGGGUUGUUCUUUCCUCACGCCGCCGUCUUGGAUAGCACCGCACCGCAAGUAAUACGGAUCGUUGGGCUGCAAGAAUAUUGGGCCGUGUUAGAUUAGUCUCACGCGGGUUGGCCUUUCCCGGACCAACUGCACCGCCGAGGGAGUAAUGCCGACUGCCGAUGGAGAAUCCGCUGAGAAAGCUCGAUAACCGGCAACAGCAGCAGCAGAUCCAUCAACAUCUUUCUCACAACGCAGGAGGACAACAUACACAACCAACCGAAGAAGAAUGCAUGAUUUCUGAGUAUCAAAUUCUACGUUGUGUGCGGAGGAAGAA
rnacentral:lncRNA from 1 species